AUGAAUAUGUCUGUUGGUGUGUUAUCUUGGAAUGUCAGGGGGCUCAAUAACCCCGCUAGGCGUAGCUCUGUUCGUUUGUUUCUGCAAACCUGUGAUGUAUCACUUGUCUGUCUCCAAGAAUCUAAAUUGGCCAUGGUGGAUGCUGGGGUGGUUAGUCAAGCUCUGGGCCCUGCUUUUGAUGGGUUUUCCUUCCUUCCUGCUGAUGGGACCAGAGGGGGUAUUAUUAUGGCCUGGAAGCAGGACUGCUUGCAUAUUUCU
rnacentral:rRNA from 1 species